AUGGACAAGGUGAGAGAUGAGGAUCCAGUUUUAUUCUCUGGCCUGGUGUUUGCUUCAGCUCAAGAGUUCAAGACCAGCCUGGGCAACAUGGUGAAACUCCAUAUCUCCCUCACCCCAGCAAAAAAAAGUUUACUCCUGCCAACGUGUCCUUGGCACAUUUUCCAGACUCUAACGUCUGCUCUGCCUCAGUACUUGCAGCCUGAGAGCAAAAGAACCAUACUACUGAUGAGAAGAAGAGUGCAAAUGACGGCCCAGCAAGCAACAGCAUCACAAUUACUGACUCAACAGGGAGGUGGCAGUAUUGAAAUGAGGUAUAUAAGGAAGCUUUAG
rnacentral:lncRNA from 13 species